GAUGAAGAACGUAGCGAAAUGCGAUAAGUAGUGUGAAUUGCAGAAUUCAGUGAAUCAUCGAAUCUUUGAACGCACCUUGCGCCUUUUGGUAUUCCGAAAGGCACACCUGUUUGAGCGUCAUGAAUACCUCAAUCUCCAUCUUUUCUUCGGAUUGAUGGGUGACUUGGAUGUUGAGCCCUGCUGGUAUGCUAUAUCAGCUGGCUUUAAACUUAUUAGCCGGCUCUGUACUGGAUCGGUUUGACUCGACGUGAUAAUAUUAUCGUUGAGGAUGCAUGUCUCAUGCAGCCGGAAAGUAUCAAAGCAGCUUCUAGCUUGCCUUUAGUGCACUUUUACAUUUUAGACCUCAGAUCAGGUGGGACUACCCGCUGAACUUAAGCAUAUCAAUAAGCGGAGGA
rnacentral:misc_RNA from 1 species